rnacentral:rRNA from 1 species
AUGGAGAGCAACACGUCGCCUAAUGAGAAAAGUCCACAUACCCCUCUGAAUUUUAAAGAAGGGUCAGUUUCGUCCAUUUUCACGGGGCGCCCUCCCUCCUGCUUUGCCACCCCUUUCCUCUCGUCGGCCAGGUGGCGGAUGGGAACCCCAAAAUACGGGACACCCCCGUCCCCGUCCCCUUCCCCCUGUCGAAGCUCUGCCGCCCCCGCUGCGACGAUCAAAGCUCCGCCAUCCCCGUCCUGUACUCCCUUGGAAAAGAUCGUUUUUUUCGACGGGAGGAGUAAUUCCGGCCUAGAUCCGGUGGUGGCGAUGCCGGAUCCUGCGACGGCGCCGACGCGAGCCACCAAGGGCAACGCAUGCCGUGGACCCCCUCUCCGGCUGCGCUUCCGCGAAACCCUAGCGGCUCCGCGUCCCGGCGACCAUCUCCGAGGCGGACAGCCAUCCCCGUCCCGUACUCCCUUGAAAAGAUCGAUUUUUUUCGACCGGCUCGGCGUCCCGGCGACCAUCUGUAGCAGCCCGAGAAGGCCCGGACAAAUUCUUGGAGCAGUACGCCCGCCGCUCCAGCAACUUUCCUCACCGCCGUCCGUCGUCAUCAAGGUCACCCACAUCCUUUACUCCUUAUUACUCUUUUUUCCCUGCACCAUCAUGCGUAUUUGUAUUUGUAUUUGUGCUACACCAUCACCAUCAUGCUUCCUUCUUUUUGCUACUCCAUCAGAUCAGAAUCAGCAAGUUCUCUCGGUGGUCGGAAUUUUGCAAGAUGAAGUUGAUCCUAUUCUUUCUACCAUGAAAAUUGAAAUGGCACCUUUGGAGUCUUGUGCUGACGUUGGUGGUUUAGAUGCUCAAAUUCAAGAGAUCAAACUAUACGAGGACAUUGGAUUCAGGCCUCCCAAGGGAGUCAUACUGUUUGGGGAACAGAGAAAGCUCUACUUGCAAAGAUGUUCAGCAUCGAACCAUUUCUUCUGUGAUUAUACAUAUUCAAAUCUUUAA